rnacentral:rRNA from 1 species
UUGAACGCUGGCGGCAUGCUUUACACCUGCAAGUCGAACGGUAACAGGCCGCAAGGUGCUGACGAGUGGCGAACGGGUGAGUAAUGCAUCGGAACGUGCCCAGUCGUGGGGGAUAACUACUCGAAAGAGUAGCUAAUACCGCAUACGAUCUAUGGAUGAAAGCGGGGGACCGUAAGGCCUCGCGCGAUUGGAGCGGCCGAUGUCAGAUUAGGUAGUUGGUGGGGUAAAGGCUCACCAAGCCAACGAUCUGUAGCUGGUCUGAGAGGACGACCAGCCACACUGGGACUGAGACACGGCCCAGACUCCUACGGGAGGCAGCAGUGGGGAAUUUUGGACAAAGGGCGCAAGCCUGAUCCAGCAAUGCCGCGUGCAGGAAGAAGGCCUUCGGGUUGUAAACUGCUUUUGUACGGAACGAAACGGCUCUGGUUAAUACCCGGGGCUAAUGACGGUACCGUAAGAAUAAGCACCGGCUAACUACGUG